ensembl:lncRNA
AUAGAGGAAGACUGGCACAGAUGUUAGCUCAGCGACAAUCGUCCUCAAGCAAAAAGAGGAAGAUUGGCAACAGAUGCUAGCUUACGGCCAGUCUUCCUCGCCAAAAAGAAGAAUCAUCAUCAUUUAUUUAUUCAUUUAUUUGUUCAACCAAUUCUUAGUCUGUGCCUAUUAGGUGCUAGAGGAGAAUGACACGGCCUCAGCACAAAUUGCCAGUACUUCCCGUGUCUUAAGAUCAUGGCCAACAUCACUAAUAGAUUAUUCUGCUGCUUUUUGAAGAACUAAGAUGCAGACAGCCAACCCAGAUAGUAUGAAUUUGUUCAUGUCACUCCCCUACUCAGAAUUCCUCGAUUGCUUCCCUCUUUGUAUGAUGAAGACCGAAGUCUUUACUGUGGCCCCCAAAGGCCCAUGUGACCUGGCCCUGCCUCCUCUCUGGUGUCCCCCUAGACCAGCCUCAUCUUUGCUCUCUGUCCCCCAGCUACAUUAUCUUUCUUCUAGCUCCCCCAAGGGUCCGUCUUCCUUCUGGCUUUAGGAUCUUCAAACUUGCUGUCCCUCUGGCUAGAAUAGUCCCUGCUCGUCCCAGCACACCCUCUUUACCUAGUUAACUCCUGUUUGUUCUCGAGAUCCCAGCUCAGACGUCACAUCCUCAGGAGCCUCCCCUUGAUGAGCCUUGCGCCUGGUCUGGGCUGGAUCCCCCUUCUCCUCGCCUUCAUGGCACGAGGUCCUGUUCUGCCCAGCACUGAUUACGGUUUACAGUUAGAUUCAUCUGUGCUGUUAGCAUCAGUCGCCCCGACAGACCUUCAUGUCGCGUUGUCUCAGCACAUUAUUCUGGAGCUGAGCUUGAUACCUGGUGCUUACUUAGCAGGUACUCAGUUCAAAUGUAUUGCAUCAAUGAGUAUGAGCAGACAUGUGAAAGGAAGUCCCUUCUUCAUUGUUUUUCAGGCUGAGCACUGGGGACAAAAAGUGAAAUACAGUGGAAAGAACAUGCGCUUUGGAGUCAGACAGGGAAAGGGAAAAUGCCAGUUGUUCACCUACUCCCUGCGUGACCCUGGCAAGGGGCUGAGCAGCCAUCAUUUAUAGAGCGAGUGCUGUGUGCCAGGAACUAGGCAGGUAUUUUAUCCAUAUGCCCUCGUUCAGCCCUCACGACAACAUUAUGGUUUGAUAUUGUUGUAUCUAUUUUACGGAGAAGCAAAUUGAGAUGUUGAGAGGUCACAUAGCUAACGAUUUACUUAUUUAAGUGGCAGAGAGAGGAGUCAAAUUUGUGUUUGUCUGGUGCCAGGGUCCACGCUCCUGAACACUGUCUGUGUUGUUUAAUGUCUGCAAGGUUGAGUUUGCUCGCUUUGAAACAGGACGGUAAUUUUGUAAGUAACUCUGUCCUGAGAGCUCGUGUCUUAUAAUCUCCUCUUCACCCACUUGCACUAUCAGAUGAAUCCCUGUGCUCAGUGGACUACUGGAGGCGAAUGCUUGCUAGGGGCCGGUAGACAGGGUGAGUAAACUGGUUGAAUUCACAGUUUUCCUGUUAGUUUCAGUUAGCCUUUGCUGCACCACAAACCACCCCAAAACACCGUGGCUUAAAACAACAACUAUUCACUAUUUCUCACGCUUCUGUGGGUUGGCUGGGUGGCUUCUCAGCCUGUGUCACCUGGAUUCACUCAUGUGGCUCUAUUCACUGGCAGGCUAGAGGAGAUGGAAGGAAGUAGAGCGUGGUCGGUGGCAGCUAUAGGCACCUUAGCUCUCCCCUCAGGAGGCUCAGGGGCUUCCUGCCACAGCCCUCUCAGGGCAUGCCGGGGCGGGGGGCGGGGAAGCAGAAGCUGCUGGGCUUCUUGAGGCCCAGCCCCACAGGUCUCACAGCAUCACUUCCACCACGUUCUCUUGGCCUGGGCCAGUCACAAGGUGGCCCGAUUUGAGGGAUGGGGAAAUAGAUGUCCCCUCUAGAAAGUGGGGGAGCCAAAGACUCAUUGCAAAGGAGCAUAGGAGAAAUUAUUAUGACAUCUUUAAAAAUAAAAACCCACACACAACAUAUGAUGGAAUAUGGCACAGUCACCAAAAAUAAUGUUCACCAACAUUUGCCAUCAGUAUAAGAAAUGCCUUAUGAAAAUGGGAGAACAACCAUAUGCAUUAUUAUUAUAGCAAAACUUAGGAGCAAACAAACCACACAUAGAUGAAAGUGCAAAGUGAGGGAAUAAAAACACGCAAAUGAGAGAGGAAGAGGUGGAGCCCGACCUUCUGGGUGCUUCCAGGAUUCACAGCACCAGGCAGUUGACAGAGAGGAGCCUUGACACCCGCUCUGGAGGCUGCCUGGGGGAUGACGCACGCACAGAUGUGGGGGCUCUUUUCUCCUGGUCCCAGGGGCAUCUUGCCUUGCCGUAAUUCCCGGCUUCCUUCUGGAUCCUCUCUCGUCUUUUCAUCAUCCUCCCUAAGACAAUGGUCCUCUCUGAGGUUUGGGGUUGCUGUCGUUGCAAUGUGUGCUCUCCUCUCUGAUAAAACAGCCCUUGCGUGCACUUCAGCAGCCCGUGGCCAGCUGUCCACCCCGUGCAGCUUAAGCUGAGAGGCCAAGGUCCAGCACCGGAGGACUCCAGGCUUCUCCCGAGCAGUCUGAACUGACCACUCUGCCCCGCACAGUCUUCCCAGGGUUGGGAGGAGGCACAGCUGGAGGCAGAGGCCCCGUGAGUCCAGGGACCAGGCCUGGAGCAAAGUGAGGCUGGGAGCCAGAGCACUUGCUGCCCUCAGCUGGGAGGGCUUCUCCCUUAGAAGGACCCACAUCUCAGCUUAAUAAAAGGGCUACGGAUGCCUUUAGGGCUCCCUGGGGGCGAUUGUCCUUUAAUGACAUGAAGACUUCUUUAGGGCCCCUGUGUAAGGUUUAUCCUUUCUUUGUAGAAUCUUCUGGCUUUAGCGCUGAGAAGAACGCUAGCCAUUACUGUGCUCUCCCAGCGUCCCCCCAAGGACCCUGCACCCCACGAGGCUCUGCAUUAACCAGAUGCUUUUGCUGGAUGUAGGAGAUUUUUUUGGAAACUCAUAUUUUAGCUUUAAUACUUUUGUAAAUUUGAUAUUCUACUCUUCUAAAAAUCUGAUUGUUUUAAUGAAAUCAUAAUGUUUUCAGUAUCUAUCAAAUAAUGACUUUCCAAGAAGAAUAUCCCAUGUAUUCCUUUGUCUUCACAUGCCCCAAGCUUGAGUAUCAGGACUGAGAAAUACAGACACAGCAGAAUCUCUCCUUUUACUGGUGAGGGACCAAGGCUCCAAGGUUGGUUGAUGGUCCUCAGUCCUGGGGUGACCCGCAGUCCAGGCUGGUCAGCUCCCUGUGCUGACUCCUGCCUGGACGUCCUCCCCUCACAGCCGUCGGCUCUGGGGUCCUCCUCAGCCUCGGACUGGGGUUUCGUUGGAGAGAAAGGAGACGAGAGAGGAAAGAGACUUGAAGGACCGGCACGUGUACCACCUCUUGCUACGGCCCUGAGAGAAUGCUGUCCUGAAGUCAGCCCCCAGCCUCCGAUGCACUGCGAGAAUCUCAGGGGCUAGACAGGAAUGGCCAACGGCAGGUACUCAAGUGUUACCAACAAAGGAAGGGUUGAAUGAAUGUGUCUGUAUCUAUUGUUACUUUGGAUGUUAGUUCAGGAAAUGCCUUUUUAUUUUUUCCUGGGAGGACAUCUGUCAUUUUAUUAAAAUACUUUGUAUAAAGUUUUCAAACUGAAGCAAAGUGAUUGCCCUUACAAGCUCACAAUUUAUAUAACAAAUUAGCAUAAACUGAUACUCAUUUUAAUAGAAGGUGAUGGAAGAAAAUAUGGAAUUUAUUUUGUGAAA